rnacentral:rRNA from 1 species
AUUGAACGCUUGCGGCAUGCCUUACACAUGCAAGUCGAACGGCAGCACGGGAGCAAUCCUGGUGGCGAGUGGCGAACGGGUGAGUAAAGUAUCGGAACGUGCCCAGUCGAGGGGGAUAACGUAGCGAAAGUUACGCUAAUAACGCAUACGCUCAAGGGAUGAUAGAGGGGGCACGCAAGACCUCGCACGUUUAGAUGGGCCGGUAUCAGAUUAGGUAGUUGGUGGGGUAAAGGCUAACCAAGCCGACGAUCUGUAGCUGGUCUAAGAGGACGACCAGCCACACUGGGACUGAGACACGGCCCAGACUCCAACGGGAGGAGGCAGUGGGGAAUUUUGGAAAAUGGGCGAAAGCCUGAUCAAGCCAUGCCGCGUGCAGGAUGAAGGCCUUCGGGUUGUAAACUGCUUUUGUACGGAACGAAAAGGUUUGGCCUAAUAAGCUGAGCUCAUGACGGUACCGUAAGAAUAAGCACCGGCUAACUACGUGCCAGCAGCCGCGGUAA